AGAAGGGAGCUUGCUCCCGGAUGUUAGCGGCGGACGGGUGAGUAACACGUGGGUAACCUGCCUGUAAGACUGGGAUAACUCCGGGAAACCGGAGCUAAUACCGGAUAGUUCCUUGAACCGCAUGGUUCAAGGAUGAAAGACGGUUUCGGCUGUCACUUACAGAUGGACCCGCGGCGCAUUAGCUAGUUGGUGAGGUAACGGCUCACCAAGGCGACGAUGCGUAGCCGACCUGAGAGGGUGAUCGGCCACACUGGGACUGAGACACGGCCCAGACUCCUACGGGAGGCAGCAGUAGGGAAUCUUCCGAAAUGGACGAAAGUCUGACGGAGCACCGCCGCGUGAGUGAUGAAGGUUUUCAGAUCGUAAAGCUCUGUUGUUAGGGAACAACAAGCGCACGAGUAACUGCUUGCAC
rnacentral:rRNA from 2 species